rnacentral:rRNA from 1 species
AUUGAACGCUGGCGGCAGGCUUAACACAUGCAAGUCGAGCGGGGUGAUGGUGCUUGCACUAUCACUUAGCGGCGGACGGGUGAGUAAUGCUUAGGAAUCUGCCUAUUAGUGGGGGACAACAUCUCGAAAGGGAUGCUAAUACCGCAUACGUCCUACGGGAGAAAGCAGGGGAUCACUUGUGACCUUGCGCUAAUAGAUGAGCCUAAGUCGGAUUAGCUAGUUGGUGGGGUAAAGGCCUACCAAGGCGACGAUCUGUAGCGGGUCUGAGAGGAUGAUCCGCCAAACUGGGACUGGGACACGGCCCAGACUCCUACGGGAGGCAGCAGUGGGGAAUAUUGGGCAAUGGGGGGAACCCUGAUCCAGCCAUGCCGCGUGUGUGAAGAAGGCCUUAUGGUUGUAAAGCACUUUAAGCGAGGAGGAGGCUCUUUUGGUUAAUACCCAAGAUGAGUGGACGUUACUCGCAGAAUAAGCACCGGCUAACUCUGUGCCAGCCGCCGCAGUAA